GGAGAGGUAGCGAAGUGGCCGUACCGCGCCCGACUCGAAAUCGGGUUACGGACUAAUAAUCCGUACGUGGGUUCGAAUCCCACCCUCUCCGCCA
rnacentral:tRNA from 2 species